GUAUUGCCAGGAGUUCCCUACAAGCACUUCACAAGGCCUAAACUUUAGGUCUCUUUGUGAAGUGUUUGGGGGAACUCUUGGUGCCAC
rnacentral:pre_miRNA from 1 species